rnacentral:rRNA from 1 species
GAUGAACGCUAGCUACAGGCUUAACACAUGCAAGUCGCGGGGCAGCAUGGGGGUUGCUUGCAAUCCCCGAUGGCGACCGGCGCACGGGUGAGUAACGCGUAUACAACCUGCCCUUCACCACGGGAUAACCCGGCGAAAGUCGGACUAAUACCGUAUGUUGUCCAUUGACGGCCUCCGAUUUGGACGAAAGGCUUGGCGGGGAGGGGUGGGGAUGCGUCCGAUUAGCCAGACGGCGGGGUAACGGCCCACCGUGGCUACGAUCGGUAGGGGUUCUGAGAGGAAGGUCCCCCACACUGGAACUGAGACACGGUCCAGACUCCUACGGGAGGCAGCAGUGAGGAAUAGUGGUCAAUGGUCGUAAGCCUGAACCAGCCAAGUAGCGUGCAGGAUGACGGCCCUAUGGGUUGUAAACUGCUUUUAUGCGGGGAUAAAGUGGCCCACGUGUGGGCUUUUGCAGGUACCGCAUGAAUAAGGACCGGCUAAUUCCGUG